rnacentral:rRNA from 1 species
AUACGGAGGGUGCAAGCGUUACUCGGAAUCACUGGGCGUAAAGCGCGCGCAGGCGGGCUGAUAAGUUGGAUGUGAAAGCCUACGGCUCAACCGUAGAACUGCAUCCAAAACUGUCAGUCUAGAGUCUGUGAGGGGAAGAUGGAAUUAGUUGUGUAGGGGUAAAAUCCGUAGAGAUAACUAGGAAUACCAAAAGCGAAGGCGAUCUUCUGGAACAGUACUGACGCUGAGGCGCGAAAGCGUGGGGAGCAAACAGUAUUAGAAACCCCAGUAGUCC